GACGAACGCUGGCGGCGUGCUUAACACAUGCAAGUCGAACGGAAAGGCCGUGCUUUUGUGGGGUGCUCGAGUGGCGAACGGGUGAGUAACACGUGAGUAACCUGCCCUUGACUUUGGGAUAACUUCAGGAAACUGGGGCUAAUACCGGAUAGGAGCUCCUGCUGCAUGGUGGGGGUUGGAAAGUUUCGGCGGUUGGGGAUGGACUCGCGGCUUAUCAGCUUGUUGGUGGGGUAGUGGCUUACCAAGGCUUUGACGGGUCGCCGGCCUGAGAGGGUGACCGGCCACAUUGGGACUGAGAUACGGCCCAGACUCCUACGGGAGGCAGCAGUGGGGAAUAUUGCACAAUGGGCGGAAGCCGGAUGCAGCAACGCCGCGUGCGGGAUGACGGCCUUCGGGUUGUAAACCGCUUUCGCCUGUGACGAAGCGUGAGUGACGGUAAUGGGUAAAGAAGCACCGGCUAACUACGUG
rnacentral:rRNA from 1 species